rnacentral:piRNA from 1 species
UGAACGAGCCAUGAAAGUGUG